GAGUUUGAUCAUGGCUCAGGAUGAACGCUGGCGGCGUGCCUAAUACAUGCAAGUCGAGCGAACAGACGAGGAGCUUGCUCCUCUGACGUUAGCGGCGGACGGGUGAGUAACACGUGGAUAACCUACCUAUAAGACUGGGAUAACUUCGGGAAACCGGAGCUAAUACCGAAUAAUAUAUUGAACCGCAUGGUUCAAUAGUGAAAAACGGUUUUGCUGUCACUUAUAGAUGGAUCCGCGCCGCAUUAGCUAGUUGGUAGGGUAACGGCUUACCAAGGCGACGAUGCGUAGCCGACCUGAGAGGGUGAUCGGCCACACUGGAACUGAGACACGGUCCAGACUCCUACGGGAGGCAGCAGUAGGGAAUCUUCCGCAAAUGGGCGAAAGCCUGACGGAGCAACGCCGCGUGAGUGAUGAAGGUCUUCGGAUCGUAAAACUCUGUUAUUAGGGAAGAACAAAUGUGUAAGUAACUAUGCACGUCUUGACGGUACCUAAUCAGAAAGCCACGGCUAACUACGUGCCAGCCC
rnacentral:rRNA from 1 species